rfam:Colletotrichum gloeosporioides Nara gc5 unplaced genomic scaffold scaffold719, whole genome shotgun sequence.
GGCGCGAUAGCUCAGAGGCAGAGCGUGGCUCCAUUAAAGCCAAGGCCCCUGGAUCGAAACCGGGUCGCGCGA